CAGUAGCCACGGUAAAACGUAGGGUGCGAGCGUUAAUCGGAAUUACUGGGCGUAAAGCGGGCGCAGACGGUUACUUAAGCAGGAUGUGAAAUCCCCGGGCUCAACCUGGGAACUGCGUUCUGAACUGGGUGACUAGAGUGUGUCAGAGGGAGGUAGAAUUCCACGUGUAGCAGUGAAAUGCGUAGAGAUGUGGAGGAAUACCGAUGGCGAAGGCAGCCUCCUGGGAUAACACUGACGUUCAUGCCCGAAAGCGUGGGUAGCAAACAGGAUUAGAUACCCCUGUAGUCCCUGUCUCUAUACA
rnacentral:rRNA from 1 species